rnacentral:lncRNA from 1 species
GGCUUAUAUGGUAGUCUGGCAUGGAAAAUCCAUGGCAAAACCCUGAUAUCAUUCAUGUAGUGCUCUGCCCAAAAGAGAGAACUUAAUUGUCUCCAAAGAAGGUUGGUUAUCAUAAGAAGGGAGAGGGAGAUCAUGGGAAGACAAGAUAAUCCAAUCCACCAAACUCAUCACUGUAAAAUUUCAUACACAAGAUACAAAAACACUCUUUUGUUAUCCUCCACCAGUGAAUUCAAAGGGAAUUAAUUUUUAUGGAAUGAAGCAUGUAGAACUAAACUAUACCUCACUCCUUUCUUCUCUCCCCAUUUUAUCCACCUAUAAAAGGACACAGGCCAGUCUUCAUCUGAAACCUUCAGUUGAUUCAAUUGACUUUGCAAGACAGAUCAUCUAUAAACCCUCAGCCAAUGGAACAAUGAGCAAUCCAGUAAGAUGUCACCAGCAACAGCAGAAAUCCACUUGCUCUGUACCAGCAGCAGUAGAAACAGGAAGAAGAUCAGGACAGUCAGAGAGAGAGCACUGA